CUCUUAUCAAGAGUGGUGGAGGGAUGUGCCCUUUGAAGCCCGGCAACCGUCUAGUGAUAGAAAUGGUGCCAAGUCACAUAAAGUUGUUAGCAACUUUAGAAGAUGAGAG
rnacentral:ncRNA from 1 species